rnacentral:rRNA from 1 species
AUGGGGAGAACAUGUUUUUAUGUUCAUCAUGUGGAUAAAGAGGCCUUUUUGAAAGGCAAUGUUGAGACGGACCCGGAUGAGCUUGACAUGGUGUUUGAGAGUAGUCCUAGCUAUGCGGAGCUUUUGAAACAAGUGAGGAAAGAUUUGAAUUGGAUGGACCCAAGUGACGUUGUUGAGUUCGAGGGAAGGCAUAAUGUUGGUUUAGGAAUGCACAUCCGUUGGAAGACAAUGCGUGUGAACUCCGAGCAACGUUGGGUUGCAUACAAGGAGACGGUUUCGGAAUCUCUAGACAAGGCUCUUGAGUUAUUUGCCUCCAAGAAGGUUGAGUCUACCUUGAAUUUAGACUUGAACCGGAACCCCUCCCCGUUGGUUGCUAGCACUCCCCCACCCAUGAACCAAGAUCAAAUGAGUGAACCUCAAUUCACGCAAGAAGAUUGGCCAACAUUGAGCCCGACUCCAAACAACCAAAAUGAAGGUUUUGAAGAGGAGAAUGAUGAGUACGAGGAGGAUGACAACGAAGUUGACCUCCAUGACAACAACGUGGGUGAUCUCGACCAAUAUCAUGUGCAAGAGACAAUGGACCAAUCCAUCCCUUUUUCCGGUGCAUAUGCAUCGGACUCGGAUGACGAUGGUCCUGAUGAAGAAGUUGAUGAGGAGGGGUUCACACCGAAGGAGGCCGAAGCAUUCAAGAAGGUAUUCGGGCGGGAUCACAAGACACCAUUGUUCAAGGAUCUUAGUCUCGCGGAUGAAGCCGUUGUGGAUGGUGGAAAAUGCAUAUCUCUUGGAGCUAGGCCAAGUUCUCACCGUGAUUUGGAAGACGGCAAGAAUGGGAUAUAUCCCAGUUGUGAGUUUCAAUCCUUCUUGGAAUUGAAGAUGUGGCUCGACAACUACUCGGUUACACAUUAUCGUCCACAUAAAGUGGCUAACUCGGACGUGAAUGUGCGUUACACGGUCAAAUGUGAAGUGCCAACAUGUCCAUGGAUUGUGCGUGCAAGGCCAUGGAAAGGAGGUCCCACUUGGCGCAUAGUGAGUUAUCUACCAACUCACAUGUGCCGGCACAAGAAUGCGGAUGGCAAGCUUGUGUACCAGCAACACAGACAACUCACGUCCGAGUUCAUUGCUUACAGGCUGUCCAACCAAAUAUCCACACUUCCAACAAUGAGCAUCAAGAGUGUCAUUGACCUUGUGAAAGCCAUCUUUCAUUACAAGGUGAAGUACGGCAAGGCAUGGAAGGCGAAGCAAGCCGCAUUCAAGAUGUUGUAUGGCAAUUGGGAGGAAGCAUACAACCGACUCCCUAGGUUGUUGUUAGCUAUGGCCGCCACAAACCCAGGCAUGGUUCACGUGGUUGAGCCUCAUGGGCACCAAACAUUGAUUCAUAACGGGAGGACCGUCCGAGUAUUUGGCCGUGCAUUUUGGGCCUUUGAGCAAUGUGUGAGGGCUUUUGAGCAUUGUCGGCCCGUCAUCGCCAUUGAUGGCACGUUCUUGACCGGACAAUACAAGGGCACUUUAUUGGUUGCAAUAGCAAGUGAUGCCAAUAACCGGGUGUUGCAUUUGGCUUUCGCUUUGGUUGAGGUGGAGAACAAUGAUAACUGGGAGUGGUUCUUGCGUCAACCGAGAACAAGGGUAUUACCUGCUGAAAGGGAAAUUUGUGUCAUAUCGGAUCGCCAUCCUGGAAUUCUAAAUGCGGUGGUGGUUGACAUUCCCGGACAUACAAAGUUGCAUCAUCGAUGGUGCAUGAGGCACUUUUGUGCAAACUUCUAUAGGGCAUGUGGUAUCAAGGAGUUGGCCGAUGAUCUUCAGGAUUGUUGUCUCGCUUUCACCAACAAGUGGUUUUCCACAUUGUUCAAUGCAUUGCUCAGACACAAGAAACUUGACCCCGGCGGUCAGAAGUUUCUGAAUAAGAACAUUGCCGAAAGGAAUAUGUGGGCACGUGCUUUCGAUGAAGAUGGCCGGAGGUACGGUCAAAUGACAAGCAAUAUGGCAGAAUGCUUCAAUAAGGUGCUCAAGGGUGUACGUGCAUUACCCGUGACGGCAAUAGUUCAAUACACAUUUGACAAGUUGAAUGAAUACUUUUGA